rnacentral:rRNA from 1 species
AUUGAACGCUGGCGGCAGGCCUAACACAUGCAAGUCGAACGAGUGGCGGACGGGUGAGUAAUGUCUGGGAAACUGCCUGAUGGAGGGGGAUAACUACUGGAAACGGUAGCUACUACCGCAUACCAUCGGAUGUGCCCAGAGGGGAUUAGCUAGUAGGUGGGGUAAAGGCUAACCUAGGCGACGAUCCCUAGCUGGUCUGAGAGGAUGACCAGCCACACUGGACCUGAGACACGGUCCAGACUCCUACGGUAGCCAGCAGUGGGGAAUAUUGCACAAUGGGCGCAAGCCGGAUGCAGCCAUGCCGCGUGUAUGAAGAAGGCCUGCGGGUUGUAAAGUACUUUAAGUUGGGAGGCGUUACCAACAGAAUAAGCACCGGCUAACUUCGUGCCAGCAGCCGCGGUAAUUC